ensembl:lncRNA
CGCCCACAUAGAAGGGGCUGGGGGUGGGACUUGGAUUUCAUUUCUCAAGUUUACCUUUCCUUUCAGCUUUACACACCAAGUGGCUGGCUGGGUGCAGGCGGAAUGGCAGCAGGUUAGUUCUGCAGCUGUGGGACAGGCAGGGGGGAGCAGCUGGAAAAGAGACGACUGGGGUGCUUUUCGGGGGCUUUUUCUCCCAAGCCUUCUAGGAAUGGGGUGAUGAGCUUAAUCAGCUUGGAGAGAUGAGGAACAAUCUCCAAAGUACUUCUGUGAAUGGCUGGAGGGAAAUGGUGCUUUUGGGAUGUAAUCUCGGCGCAGCUCCUGGGCAAAGAACCACAAAGAUCCCACUGGCCACGGUGCUGUUACAAGCAUGAGUGACAUUACUAUAGAGGUGGACCCCAGCUAAUCAAACUUGCAGCAUGGCUUUAAAAGUGGACUGCAGAGUUGCAGCCGAAGAAUCAACCCUGCUAGCAGAUGUGGCCUUGGCAUGGAAAAGUCUUCACAAAGCCAAAGAAGCGUUACAGAGGAUUGAAAACAAAUUUGACCAUGAAGAUUGGAAUUAUGCCAAAGCUCAGAAAGCCAGAAGAAAGCUACAAUGUGAAAGGAGCCCCGACAGUAACAGAGGCCAAGAGGAACCCGUUUCAAUUGAAAUCAAGACUGAGGAGAGCUGUCUAUCCUGCAGGGGAAAUUGUGCAAGUGUUUCUCCUGCUUGGCCAGAGAACUGGUCCUUUGAGAGCCAGGCUGUGAGGAAUGAGUCAGCGAGAAUGAUGCAUCUGCCUUGCAGCAGGGAGCCAACCUCUUCAACAUGCAGCCCUGGCAGAAUGGACGUCCAAGGCGGCAGAGCUGCAGCUGGCACUCAGUCUGCUCCAGAGACUCUAAGCAUACUGGGGAGGAGGGGCAGUUUUAGUGACCAGGUAAACACAGAGAAGAAGAGCCCCACAGGACAGAUGGAGGGAGCUCCUCGCUCUCCACAGCAUCUGCCCUCCUCCCCUGAGGACAGCAAGCAAGCUGCCCCCUGUGCAGUCUGCAGCCACACUCCCCUAUGCCCAUCAGCCCUGCCUGCCAUGUGCCCCCUUUUUCCCUGCAAUAGUCCCAGUGCUCAGAAGCAGCAGGGACUGAGGAGAUCACCCGACAACAAGCUAGAGCGGCUCAGAGAGAGAAUUCGGGAGCAGAAGCAGCGACACCAACGCCUGGCUCAGGAAGCGAAGCAGCCCAGUGCCAGCUACGCCAGGGAACUGCUGCAUGUAGGGCCCCUGAAGAGGAAGGUUCGCAAAGUGGCCUUUGCUCCUCCAACCCCAGUUUACAGAGGUUUUAGUGCUGUAAAACUGAAGGUUGCUCAUUCUUCUGUGGAUGAGGAGACUGGAAUAUCAGAAUCUGAAGAAGUGGCCACCACCAGACAAAGUGGGGAUUAUAAAAACACGAGUCCAGACCAAAGAGACAGACGCAUGACAAGCAGAAGUCAAAGACCCAAGCAAGAACAGAGUUCAUCCAAGUCUCCUGUCCCUGAGAAAACACUGAAAGAGAAAGGAUCCAAACUGAUUGGUGCUUCUGCGUGGCGAGAAGGUCAGAAGCUGGUGAAAAAGUUGCUUGGUCCAUCUCCUAAAUUUACAAAGCUGGGGAGCACAUCUGAAGAGCAGAACCCUAAAAAUGACUCUGAAUCUGGUAAAGAUUUUAUAGCAACCCCACAAAUGGAACAAAGAUCUAGAGAAAAUGAUGUUCCUGCUAGAAGUGAUCACAUGCUGAACAGCCCUCCUCAUAAAAGCUGUCAGACUACACCCGGCAGUUCCAUUGAAAUUGCCAGCAAUGCACUGACCAGAGAUGCAAAGCAAAUACUAAGGGAUCUACAUUUGCAAAACCAAUCUUGUGAGGAAUACAGAAGGACAAAGCCACAGAAAGAUACCACAACAGGAAAGGCAGAAGAUUCAAAGCCAUAUCCAGAAACCAAUCCUCCUUCAAGUGAAAUCAGCAGCAUCACUCGCUCUGAUUACAGCAGAGACAAGACCAGGUCCUCCUUAAUGAAAGCUGGAAUAGAGCUAAGAAAUUGUCAUGGAGGAAAAAGUGCAUCUCUUCCAAGAAGAACAGACAAUGAAAAGGAGCCUGGAAAGGAAUUUUAUGGAGUGGGUGCAUAA